UCACUUUGUUGCUUAGGCUGCUACACUCUUUUAAACAAUCAGAUCUUGCAUGAGCAAGAAGGGCACCAAGCCAUUUGUGAGAGAUCUAUUCCCAUUACCCAAACACCUUUCACUAGGCCCUACCUCAGCAUUAGGGAUCACAUUUCAACAUGAGAUUUGGAGGAAACACACACCAUCUUAACCAUUUCUAAGUGUACAGUUUUCUAAUAUUAAUUACAUCCUCAUUGUUUUGCACCACUAUCCAUCUCCAGAAACUCUUUCCAUCUUGCAAAACUGGAACUAUGACCUAUUAAAAAAUAACUCUCCAUUUCUCCUUGCCCCCAGCUCUGGCUACCACCAUUCUACUUUCUGUCUCUAUGAACUGACUACUGUAGGUACUUCAUGUAGGUGGAGAUAUUGUAUCCCUUUUACAUAUUAAAACUUUUGAGUUGUUCUGCAGUAAAUAAAUAUGCUUAACAUUAUCGUGUUUAAGUUAUUCGCCAUUGAAACUUUCCUCCCACAGUAACACAUGUGGAGGAACAUACAUUGGGAAUAUCAACUGAUAGGCACUGUGCUAGGGUCCAGAAAUACCAUGUGGAGUCCAACACACGUAGAAAUAAGGAGUGGAAUUCCAAAAGAAGGCAAAGUGUAAAGUCAUCUUUAUGGAAAUGAGUGAUGAAGGUGAAUACCUGAAUGAGAUGUCAAGAGGAGGAACACACUGGAGAGAAGCAGUGAAGAUUUAGGACUGAACCUUAAAGACAUACAGGCUUGAGAGAAAGAAAGCAUGUAAAGAAGACAGAAAUGGUUAGAAAGAUCCUCUGAGCUACUGCUGAAUUAAAAACAGAACACUGAAGAAAAACUGCAGUUAUUACUUGACCAUCCUAGGAGUUCCAGGACUUUGUAGCAUACAAAGGGAACAGGGAUGAUUUAAACUUCUUUGUGCCUGUUUUGCUUUGUAUGACAAAUGGGCUGCUCCCCUGGCCUUGGUCUGCCAUAUUUGCAUUCAGAGCAUCAUCCCCUCCUGGGAACUACCGUACUAGAUUCCAAACUGAAGCUCAGCUGCAAAAAUUCCACACAGUUUGUGCUUUCCCUCUUUAAAGGAGAACUGGAAGUGUGAACAAACAUUUCCCAAAUCCUCAAUCUGUGGAAGACAGGAUAAGAAAGGCUCCUUCCCUAUCAGCCCACUUUUUCCAGGUUCAAGGCAGUAGAGAACCUGUGUAUGAGAGAAGUCUUGCCAAUGAGAUCCAUGUGAUGCAGGCCUUCAGAGCACCCACCUUUAUAGGCAUUCCAGAAUGAUUCAAUAAAAUCUGCCACUUAUCAGCCUUUGGGGAAGAAAAAUAUAGUGAUUUUUUUAAUCAUUAAAAUUUGUUUUAGUGGGAUAGUAAUUGUUUUUAUUCUUUGGUAGCAUAUCUGUCACCACCACCACUAUUUCAAUGAACAAAAGCAGGGUUACUUAAGCUUAGCUAACUAACCUGCAGGGAAUGUUUAAUUUAAUUCCUGUUUGCUCUUCCCUAGGGCUUUGUGUUGCUUUCCAUGGGAUUAGUUUAGCAACUCUUGUUAUUUUUGGCGUUCUCUUAUAACCCUUGCUGUUUUGUACACUCCCUGAGGACUAAGGCUCACCUUUGGAUCCUCUACCCUUGCCCCAUUUGCCUGCCAUUUUCACUCAUCCUUCAAGUCCUUUGCAGGUGACACCUGCUACCUCUGAGAAGCCCUCCCUGGCAGCCCGAAUGUCUUCCUCUGAUCUACUUCUACACCUUGACUAACUUUUGUUAUAGAACUUUCUGUAUAUUAUUGAAAAUAUCUGCUGA